rnacentral:rRNA from 1 species
CCUACGGGUGGCAGCAGUGGGGAAUAUUGCACAAUGGGGGAAACCCUGAUGCAGCAACGCCGCGUGAGUGAUGACGGCCUUCGGGUUGUAAAGCUCUGUCUUCAGGGACGAUAAUGACGGUACCUGAGGAGGAAGCCACGGCGAACUACGUGCCAGCAGCCGCGGUAAUACGUAGGUGGCGAGCGUUGGCCGGCUUUACGGGGUGUAAAGGGAGCGUAGGCGGACUUUUAAGUGAGGUGGAAAAUAGUCGGGCUCAACUUGAGUGCUGCAUUUAAAACGGAAAGUCUAGAGUGCAGGAGGGAAGAAUGGAAUUCCGAGUGUAGCGGUGAAAGGCGGAGAGAUUAGGAAGAACACCAGGGGCGAAGGCGAUUCUCAGGACUGUAACUGACGCUGAGGCUCGAAAGCGUGGGGAGCAAACAGGAUUAGAUACCCCUGUAGUC